GGGGCUGUAGCUCAGUGGAAGAGCAUCUGCUUGCCUCAUAUGCAGAAGGUCCCAGGUUCAAUUCCUGGCAUCUCCA